rnacentral:rRNA from 1 species
AUUGAACGCUGGCGGCAUGCUUUACACAUGCAAGUCGAACGGUAACAGGCCUCCGGGUGCUGACGAGUGGCGCACGGGUGGGUAAUGCACCGGAACGUGCCCAGAGGUGGGGGUUAACGCAGCGAAAGCUGUGCUAAUAUCGCACGUGAUCUGAGGUCGAAAGCGGGGGACCAGGCAGCAAUGUUUGGCCUCGCGCCUUUGGAGCGGCCGAUGUCGGAUUAGGUAGUUGGUGGGGUAAAGGCCUACCAAGCCGACGAUCGGUAGCUGGUCUGAGAGGACGAUCAGCGACACUAGAACUGAGACACGGCCCAGACUCCUGCGGGAGGCAGCAGUGGGGAAUUUUGGACAAUGGGCGCAAGCCUGAUCCAGCGAUGCCGCGUGCGGGAAGAAGGCCUUCGGGUUGUAAACCGCUUUUGUACGGAACGAAAAGGCUCUGGCUAAUACCUGGGGCUGAUGACGGUACCGUAAGAAUAAGCACCGGCUAACUACGUG